rnacentral:rRNA from 1 species
ACUCCUACGGGAGGCAGCAGUAGGGAAUCUUCCGCAAUGGACGAAAGUCUGACGGAGCAACGCCGCGUGAGUGAUGAAGGCUUUCGGGUCGUAAAACUCUGUUGUUAGGGAAGAAUAAGUACAAGAGUAACUGCUUGUACCUUGACGGUACCUAACCAGAAAGCCACGGCUAACUACGUGCCAGCAGCCGCGGUAAU